UACGUAGGGUCCGAGCGUUGUCCGGAAUUAUUGGGCGUAAAGGGCUCGUAGGCGGUCCGUCGCGUCGGGAGUGAAAACUCGGAGCUUAACUCCGAGCCUGCUUCCGAUACGGGCAGACUAGAGGUAGGCAGGGGAGAGCGGAACUCCUGGUGUAGUGGUGGAAUGCGUAGAGAUCCGGAGGAACACCAGCGGCGAAGGCAGCUCGCUGGGACGGUACUGACGCUAAGGCGCGAAAGCGUGGGGAGCGAACAGG
rnacentral:rRNA from 1 species